AGUGAACGCUGGCGGUAGGCCUAACACAUGCAAGUCGAACGGCAGCACAGUAAGAGCUUGCUCUUACGGGUGGCGAGUGGCGGACGGGUGAGGGAUACAUCGGAAUCUACUUUUUCGUGGGGGAUAACGUAGGGAAACUUACGCUAAUACCGCAUACGACCUACGGGUGAAAGCAGGGGAUCUUCGGACCUUGUGCGAUUGAAUGAGCCGAUGUCGGAUUAGCUAGUUGGCGGGGUAAAGGCCCACCAAGGCGACGAUCCGUAGCUGGUCUGAGAGGAUGAUCCGCCACACUGGAACUGAGACACGUCCCAGACUCCUACGGUAGGCAGCAGUGGGGAAUAUUGGACAAUGGGCGCAAGCCUGAUCCAGCCAUACCGCGUGGGUGAAGAAGGCCUUCGGGUUGUAAAGCCCUUUUGUUGGGAAAGAAAAGCAGCAGGUUAAUACCCCGCUGUUCUGACGGUACCCAAAGAAUAAGCACCGGCUAACUUCGUG
rnacentral:rRNA from 1 species